AUCCAGCUGGCACAGAGCUGGGGUGGGCACAGAGCUGGGGUGGGCACAGAGCUGGGUGUGGAACACAGUCCGAGUCUACACUGGGUGGCCUGCUGCCUGCCGCCCCCCAGAUGUGUCAGUAGGAAACCGGAUUGGAACCCGGCAGCUAGCGCUCGAACCAGCACCCCCAUGCGGAGUGGGGGUGGGCUAAGCAGUGCCACAGAGCCCACUCCCAUUAAAAACCACAAAACGUGUUUAUUAAGUUGAAAACCAGGGUUCUGGGGAAACAUGCGCACACACACACACACUCACUCACUCUUCCCAAGUGGCACAGUCAGUGCAGGUGGGCUGGUCGGAAGCCAGGACCAGGAGCUUCUUCCGGUAUUAUUAUUCUUUUUUUCUUUUCUUACUCCUGACCUGACCAGUGCUUGAGUGUCGCCUGCAGCCUCUGCUCGGCCAGGAGGCCCCGUCUGCAUUUUCUCUCCUUGGUCCCACUGCCACAGUCUCUCCUGCUUCUUCCGUGCUCCUGCCCAUCUGGCUUAGCGAUGAUGACACAGAAGCAGGAUGGUGCUUGUUCCCUAGUGACUCGUGGCCAUUUGGGCUCCCAACUGUGAGCUUUCCCCCUUUGCCCCGAAACUUUGAUUUCCAGCUAGCUGCACGUCCCUGGAGCAGCGUCGGAGUGUCUGCCCAUUUGUGUGGUGAGGGUUGGUGGAGAAGGUCUGUCUGGGAGAGGGAGGGGAUGUGUUCCUGUGGUGGCUGGAGCCCCUCAGAGAGCUUGAGUGUUUGUGUGGUCCCCAGGUGAGCGGAUCAGAGCUCCUUAGCUCAGAUACCUGCAGUGUGACCACUCCGCCUUCUCCGGGUGAACGAGGGAGGAGUUGCCAGGGUGCCCGCUGGUAUUGUGCUGUGGGCUUCAGGAGCCGUGAAAAUUGAGCCUGAGAACUUGGAAAAGGUUGCAGAUUUGAGUGUGGAAGAUCCUGUUGCUUUCAUCUGCAUCUAAA